GACGUAGGAGGCGAGCGUUGUCCGGAUUCAUUGGGCGUAAAGAGCACGCAGGCGGUCGUUCAAGUCGCGUGUGAAAGCCCCCGGCUCAACUGGGGAGGGUCACGCGAUACUGAUCGACUCGAAGGCAGGAGAGGGUAGUGGAAUUCCCGGUGUAGUGGUGAAAUGCGUAGAUAUCGGGAGGAACACCAGUGGCGAAGGCGACUACCUGGCCUGUUCUUGACGCUGAGGCGCGAAAGCUAGGGGAGCAAACGGG
rnacentral:rRNA from 1 species